AUGCUUCCGCGUCUGCGUCGUUGGGUCGACGAGCUUGUUUCAAUUCAUGGUUCUAAAAGUAUUGCGUGUGUUGCAGAGCAAUUCACCGCCAGAACAACAGCCGGAGUAACGUGUUUUGUUGAAGACGACCUAGAGAGUCACGUCUAUUUAUUUAUUUGUUUAUUUAUUUAUCAUAGACUUUAUUGCCCCGUGCAUCGCCACUGCUGCUUUUCAUCGCGGGCACAUUUGUCCCGUAUUUUCCUCCACAACUUUGUGCACCUCUCGACCGGCAAACCGCCGUUUGCCGCCCACCAUCUGAAAAUCAACCCCGACAAGACUGAACUACUUCUCUUUCCAGGAAAAGACUCUCUGACCCAGGACUUGACUGUCAACUUUGGCAACUCCGUGUUAACGCCCACUUUAACCGCUAGUAACCUCGGCGUCACAAUCAACAGCCAACUCUCCUUGACUCCCAAGAUUACUGCGACAACACGAUCCUGUAGAUACACUCUCUACAACAACAGGAGAAUACGUCCCCUUCUCACUCAGAACACUGCCCAGGUACUGAUUCAGGCUCUUGUCAUCUCAUGCCUGGACUACUGCAACUCGCUCCUGGCAGGUCUCUCCGCUACCGCCAUUCGACCCCUGCAGCUCAUCCAGAAUGCAGCAGCUCGACUGGUCUUUAACCUUCCGAAAUUCUCCCACACUACUCCACUCCUCCGCUCUCUUCACUGGCUACCGGUGGCCGCCCGCAUCCAGUUCAAAACGUUGGUGCUCACUUACCAUGCUGUGAAUGGAUCGGGUCCAGCUUACAUCCAGGACAUGGUGAAACCCUACAUCCCGACCCGCACUCUCCGCUCUGCAUCUGCAAAACUGCUCGUCCCUCCCUCACUGAGAGCAAAACACUCGACUAGAUCACAACUCUUUGCUGUCCUUGCUUCGAAAUGGUGGAACGAGCUCUCUGAAGACACCAGGACCACAGAGAGCCUUCAUAUCUUCCGCCGCAAACUAAAGACACCUCUUCAGACUCUACCUCGACUAAAAGACUAA
ensembl:lncRNA